rnacentral:lncRNA from 1 species
UUCUACUUCUUCAUAUUCUUCUUCUUCUUCUCCUUUUUAGAUAGGAUUGUUCUUUAAAAUAAACUCAGAAUUAUCUACCUCCUCAUGAUGGCCAUCACAGAAUGAAUGGUCUGAGACUUAAUUUUGCAUGCAGUCUACCAUUCUUUUCUUCCUCUCUUCCUUGAUGAGAAUGGAGUAUAAUACACUUGAAUAGCUUAUUGGGCUA